UCAGAUUGAACGCUGGCGGCAGGCCUAACACAUGCAAGUCGAACGGUAACAGGAAGAAGCUGCUCUUGCUGACGAGUGGCGGACGGGUGAGUAAUGUCUGGGAAACUGCCUGAUGGAGGGGGGAUAACUACUGGAAACGGUAGCUAAUACCGCAUAACGUCGCAAGACCAAAGAGGGGGACCUUCGGGCCUCUUGCCAUCGGAUGUGCCCAGAUGGGAUUAGCUUGUUGGUGGGGUAACGGCUCACCAAGGCGACGAUCCCUAGCUGGUCUGAGAGGAUGACCAGCCACACUGGAACUGAGACACGGUCCAGACUCCUACGGGAGGCAGCAGUGGGGAAUAUUGCACAAUGGGCGCAAGCCUGAUGCAGCCAUGCCGGCCGUGUAUGAAGAAGGCCGUUCGGGUUAGUAAAGUUACUUUCAGGCGGGGAAGGAAGGGAAGUAAAGUUAAUACCUUUGCUCAUUGACGUUACCCGCAGAAGAAGCACCGGCUAACUCCGUGCCAGCCGCAGC
rnacentral:rRNA from 1 species